AGUGUUGGGAGACACUCAAAUACAAUGAGUAUAUAAUAAUAUUAUUGGUGGUUAUAUUUAUUCUCGACGACGUCCUUUAUCUGUUUAUCUACAGACAAAGAA
rnacentral:sRNA from 2 species